rnacentral:rRNA from 1 species
ACUCCUGCGGGAGGCAGCAGUAGGGAAUCUUCGGCAAUGGGGGCAACCCUGACCGAGCAACGCCGCGUGAGUGAAGAAGGUUUUCGGAUCGUAAAGCUCUGUUGUAAGUCAAGAACGAGUGUGAGAGUGGAAAGUUCACACUGUGACGGUAGCUUACCAGAAAGGGACGGCUAACUACGUGCCAGCAGCCGCGGUAAUACGUAGGUCCCGAGCGUUGUCCGGAUUUAUUGGGCGUAAAGCGAGCGCAGGCGGUUUGAUAAGUCUGAAGUUAAAGGCUGUGGCUCAACCAUAGUUCGCUUUGGAAACUGUCAAACUUGAGUGCAGAAGGGGAGAGUGGAAUUCCAUGUGUAGCGGUGAAAUGCGUAGAUAUAUGGAGGAACACCGGUGGCGAAAGCGGCUCUCUGGUCUGUAACUGACGCUGAGGCUCGAAAGCGUGGGGAGCGAACAGGAUUAGAAACCCCGGUAGUCCCAUGA